rnacentral:rRNA from 1 species
UACGUAGGGUGCGAGCGUUAAUCGGAAUUACUGGGCGUAAAGCGUGCGCAGGCGGUUUUGUAAGCCAGAUGUGAAAUCCCCGGGCUUAACCUGGGAACUGCAUUUGUGACUGGCAGGCUAGAGUAUGGCAGGGGGGGGGUAGAAUUCCACGUGUAGCAGUGAAAUGCGUAGAGAUGUGGAGGAAUACCGAUGGCGAAGGCAGCCCCCUGGGCCAAUACUGACGCUCAUGCACGAAAGCGUGGGGAGCAAACAGG